AAAAUUCAAAAAUAAGCAUUGGGAGGUGCGCUAUUCAGUGGCGUUGAAAAAAAAAAGAAACAGAGAAACCCCGAACAGAAGAGCAAACCCCAAAAUAACAUUGCUUGGCCUGCUUCAGACUAAAAACACAUGCAUGGUCCGGUGACAGAAAAGAAUCAUCAAGAUUCGUGUGAGACAUUGAACGGGCAAAAAUUGAGUGAUGG
rnacentral:lncRNA from 1 species